CCAGUACUUCUUUCCUGUCGGGCUCAAAUCACAGUGCAGUGUCCUGAACCUGAAGAGAAAGAGGUGCCUUCUGUCUAGGAGAACACAAACAUGUGGUUCUCCAGGCUGAUACAUUUGAUCAUGGCUUCAACAUGGCUAGGGUCCAGCAUUGCUCAGAAAGUAACUCAAGCCCAGACAGCAGCAUCAGUGCAGGAGACAGAAGCAGUGGUCCUGGACUGUACCUAUGACACCAGCUCUACAAACUAUGGUAUCCUGUGGUACAAGCAGCCCAGCAGUGGGGAGAUGAUCUUCCUCAUUCGUCAGGACUCUUACAAACAAAAUGCAGCAGAAGGUCGCUACUCUUUGUAUUUCCAGAAAGCAAGCAAGUUCAUACAACUUGUCAUUUCAGCUUCACAGCUGGGGGACUCAGGAUUGUAUUUCUGUGCACUGGCAGACAGCACAGUGAGAGGAAUGCAAGAGGUAGGUGUACAAAAACCCUGCUGUAAGUCAGGAAGUCACCAACCCAAACAAGAAGUUGCCAAGGUUGUGGCCGCACAGGUGUCUCAUGUUGGAGGAAGACAUUCAUUGUGAGAAACCCCUCUGUGGGUUCAAGACCAAAUCCAGGGUUUUCAGUAAUCAUAAUCAUCUAUAUCACUGAAGCUGUGGCUCAAA